GAUGAACGCUGGCGGCGUGCCUAAUACAUGCAAGUCGAGCGAACGGACGAGAAGCUUGCUUCUCUGAUGUUAGCGGCGGACGGGUGAGUAACACGUGGAUAACCUACCUAUAAGACUGGGAUAACUUCGGGAAACCGGAGCUAAGACCGGAUAAUAUUUUGAACCGCAUGGUUCAAAAGUGAAAGACGGUCUUGCUGUCACUUAUAGAUGUAUCCGCGCUGCAUUAGCUAGUUGGUAAGGUAACGGCUUACCAAGGCAACGAUGCAUAGCCGACCUGAGAGGGUGAUCGGCCACACUGGAACUGAGACACGGCCCAGACUCCUACGGGAGGCAGCAGUAGGGAAUCUUCCGCAAUGGGCGAAAGCCUGACGGAGCAACGCCGCGUGAGUGAUGAAGGUCUUCGGAUCGUAAAACUCUGUUAUUAGGGAAGAACAUAUGUGUAAGUAACUGUGCACAUCUUGACGGUACCUAAUCAGAAAGCCACGGCUAACUACGUG
rnacentral:rRNA from 1 species